rnacentral:lncRNA from 1 species
CUUGUGGAGGAUGUCCGGGCCAAGAGAAGUGCUUUUGUGGAGAGGGCACCCAAGAGUAGAAAAGCUUUCCAAUGGUUGGAGUGCUGUUUCCGACCUCCAUGAGCCAUGAGGUAUCGUCGAGCUCUAGAUGUUAAAUUAAGCACUUGUUGGGAGGUAACCCAACUGUUUUCUUUGUUUCGUUUUCUUUCUUUUAGUUUCUUUUUGUUUCUUUGUUUUCUUUGUUUUGUUUGGUGUUUAGUGCAGUGUUGAGCUUGGAAGAUGCGGGAACUCGCGCCUUGUCCAUACUACCACCAUGGAGCAUGUUUUUCUGUGAGUAGUGACACACAUAUCAUCAUCCCUCCAAACUUAUUUUCGAACUUUUGUU